AUCAGUUAUAAUAUAUUUGAUAAUGUUUUUAUACGGAUAACCGUGGGAAACCAGAGCUAAUACGUGCAUUAAAGGCCUUUUGGCUGUAUUUAUUAGUUAUAAACCGAUGGCUUCUGCCUUUGUGAUGAUUCAUAAUAACUGAUCGAAGCGAAUUAGUAUUCGCUAAAUCUUUCUAGUCUCUGCCCUAUCAGCUUUCGAUGGUAGUGUAUUGGACUACCAUGGCUAUCACGGGUAACGGAGAAUUAGGGUUCGAUUCCGGAGAGGGAGCCUGAGAAACGGCUACCACAUCCACGGUAGGCAGCAGGCGCGUAAAUUACCCAAUCCUGACUCAGGGAGGUAGUCACGAGAAAUCUUAUAUUGGCCCAUGUUGGCUGAAUGUAUGAUGGAUUUAAUAUAGACCAUUAUUUGAAAUCAAUUGGAGGGCAAGUCUCGGUGCCAGCAACCGCGGUAACUCCAGCUCCAAUAGUGUAUAUUAACGUUGCUGCAGUUAAAAAGCUCGUAGUUGAAUUUCUGAGGGGUGGUCCUUCCCAAGGGAUCGUACCGCUACUUCAUCCGCGCCGGAAGGUACUACAGUCUUACUUAGUGCUGGAUGCGUGUUUUACUUUGAAGAAAUUAGAGUGUUCCAGGCAGGCUUUGCUUGAAUACAUCAGCAUGGAAUAAUGGAAUAGGACAAGUUGAUUUUAUUGGUUAUUCAUCUUGUAAUGAUUAACAGGGACAGUUGGGGGCGUUUGUAUUCAAUAGUCAGAGGUGGAAUUCUUGGAUUUGUUGAAGACAAACUAAUGCGAAAGCAUUCGCCAAGGAUGUUUUCAUUAAUCAAGAACGAAAGUUAGGGGAUCAAAGACGGUUAGAUACCGUCGUAGUCCUAACCAUAAACUAUACCGACUAGGGAUUGGCGAGUGGAGUGACUCUUGUCAGCACCUAAUGAGAAAUCAAAGUCUUUGGGUUCUGGGGGGAGUAUGGUCGCAAGGCUGAAACUUAAAGGAAUUGACGGAAGGGCACCACCAGGAGUGGAGCCUGCGGCUUAAUUUGACUCAACACGGGGAAACUUACCAGGGCCAGACCUGAGUAUGAUUGACAGAUUGAUAGCUUUUUCUUGAUAACGGGGAUGGUGGUG
rnacentral:rRNA from 1 species